UACGUAGGGGGCGAGCGUUGUCCGGAGUUACUGGGCGUAAAGGGCAUGUAGGCGGUCGCGUAAGUUUGGAGUGACAGUGUCUGGCUUAACUAGACAAGGGCUUUGAAAACUGCGGGACUUGAGAGUCAGAGAGGGACAUAGAAUUCCGGGUGGAGUGGUGAAAUGCGUAGAUAUCCGGAGGAAUACCGAAGGCGAAGGCAGUGUCCUGGCUGAGUUCUGACGCUGAGGUGCGAAAGCUAGGGGAG
rnacentral:rRNA from 1 species